UGCUGCUCCGGCUCGGGCCGCACGUGCAGCCCCUUUCCGGCCCUGGUGCCCGGGGUCGCCGGAGGCCCUGACUGGGUGCCCGCCAUGGCGGCGGCUGCGGCGGAGGCGCGCGUGUUCCUGGAGGUGCGGAGACGGCUGCAGAGCGCGCUGCUGAUCCUGGGCGAUCCAAACGAAGGAGGUCUGCCCAUGGAUGUCUGCGUAACGCCGACCUCUCUCCAGUUGAAAAGGCCGGGCGGCUGCACGGAGCUCUGGCUGCCAGCAGGGGUCAGGCUUGUCCCGUCCUCCUGCCGCGGGCUGCAGCACGUGGCCGGGGACGGGCUGCACCUGCGGCUGCAGGCGCGGGCGGAAUUCUGCCCAAACCUGAUCUCGGUGUUUAAUCAAAGCCCCCAAGCCCAAGAAUGCUGUACGUUUUUCUGCCAGUCCUGCGGUGAAAUCAUCAUAAGGAACAGGAGGCUGCUGAGGCUGCUCUCCCUGCCGCACGAAAACUGGGGUGCUCUGGUGGGUGAGUGGUGUUGCCACCCCAACCCCUUUGCUAGGAAGCCGCUUCACCCACGAGAGGGGGACUGCCUCACUGGAGACUGCUUCUUCUUGGUGAACUUAAGACAUGAUUUGCAGCAGCCGAGGCCUGAAGGAGCCCCAGCGGACACGCGCUGCCUUUCUUCUGAGAACCACUUAGAAAUGAAACCAAAGGCAAAUACCAAAGUAAUUUGUAAGCGUUGCAAGGUAAUGUUGGGAGAGACUGUGUCAUCAGAAACCACUAAGUUUUAUAUGACAGAGAUCAUUAUUCAGCCAUCUGAAAGAAAUUUUCCCAUCAUACCAAGGUCUCAGUUUGUACAGAGCGUUAUAGCCCAGUGCCUGGUGGAACUCUCGUCUGCUAGAAGCACUUUUAGAUUCACUCUUCAAGGACACGACGGCAAAGUGUACAUCUUGCUAUGGCUUCUAAACUCAGACAGUUUGGUGAUUGAAGCUUUGGAAAGUUCCACAAAUAUCAAAAAAUUCCCUCUGUUGGAAGACUUAUUGAAGGCCGAUUCCAGUUCUGCCUGGAAUGCUGUCAAGGUCCUCUACCAGCCAUGCAUCAAAGGCAGGAAUGCAGAGCUCGCCAGCUCGUGGGAAAGUGACAUCAGCGUCCACUGCCUCACCCUGCCCUCUGCAACCUGCUUGGAGCUGCUGUUGAUAUUGUCAAGGAGCAAUGCCACGUUGCCUCGCUCCCUCCGCUGCAUGAAUUCCUUCCAGGCUUCCUCUGCUUUCGGUCUCGACUUCUGUUUCUGACUCUGAUCCUGGUCCAUCGAAACACGUGUGGCUUCGGAAUUUCCCAGGGGUUUGGCGUUUGCAUGUAUUUUACUUGUGGCCUUUCUGAAGAUGUAACUGCGGGAGCCGACACAUCCCUCUCCACAGCAUGGGGUGCUCCGGCAGCCAGCCGUCGGCCCAGUGGGCAACAAUUACAGAGACAAGAACCCAGCUACAGAGAACAGGGCAUUGCAUUUUUGAGUUUCCUUGCCUGCAUAUAUUCUCUAAGAGGAGAGAAAACUUGAAACCUUUGAAAAACCAAGGCUGUGAAGAAAGUCAUAGUAGCAGGUUGAGAGAUGAGUAUAGAAUUUACGUCUCUAUUUCCCACCGAGAGGAGUAUUCAAAUAUAUGCUGUGUCAGCACCACCUGGAGAGACAGAGAGAGAGCUGAUUGAGACCCAUCUGUCCUGUGCAGAAUGCAGCAAGGGGCUUCAUUGGUGGAACUGAAUGUUAGCUGCUGCAAAUCGUAGGACAUAAACUUUCAGAGGACUUCGCAGGCUCGUAUAAAAACACGUUUUAAAAGAAAAUAUGGGAUUUUGUAUACCUUAUUCAGAGGGGAUGCUCAGUAAAUAAAUGUUCGUUGAAUGCAUGAUUAUCAAAUUAAAGGGUUUCCCAUUUGUGCAAA